UUGUAAUCUACAGUUGGCGAAGAAAAAAUGUCCAAGCCACUGGGAGAGUCCUGGAAUGGAUGCCGUUUUGGCGUUUUUUGACCACUACAAUAUUAAUCGAGAACAUUUCUUGAAAUCCAUUCGGACGGGGAAUUCAAUAAUCGUGAGGUUAUGGAAAACGUUUUUUUGAGAAAAGUUUCUUGUGCAAAUGGAGACACCAAUUGUUGUGAGUGCCUGGUCAUUUGUGCCUCUUCGAACUCAACGGAUCCUUAAGUAAUUUCAAUGGGACAUACACUCACACAUUACAGUACCCACCUAACGGACCAAACACUUGGAGACCAAAGAAAUGUUAUUUCUCUCAACCCCUACGCAAUCGGUCCACAACAAAGGGAUUGAUUAUUGGGUGUCCCUUGGAUGGUGUGUCAUCAGCUUAUUACAUGUGGGAAACUUGAACGGUAAGGUGGAUUCUUUAUCAUAUCUGGAGAUCGGAGUUUAAGGAUUUAAUGGUAAAAUUAUUAUGAAGACUCUGAUUGAGACAGGCGAGUGCAAUACGACGAGCUCUCGCUCAGGGUGAAUUGCGAAGUUGUAUUCGUUGGAAUGUUGGAAUGAUGGCACGCUGCAUACCUUGCUGAAUGAGUGGACCACGUGGCUAAGGAAAGUCGCAGGUUCUGCCUAAGUAUAUUUUUGAUUAAAUUUCUCGUAGGUUCAAGAUCUUCCUUGUAAUCUACAGCUUCUUGUGCAAAUGGAAACAAUUACUGAUUUUACUUGUGAGUGCCUGGUGAUUUGUACCCCUUCGCACUCAACUCAAUUUCAAUGGGAUAUACACUCACACGUUACAGUACAGUACCCACCUAACGGACCCCUUUUCCUUGAGCUAAUGAAGUCCAAACACGAGGAGACCAAAGAAAUGUUAUUUCUCUCAACCCCUACGCAAUCGGUCCACUACAAAGGGAUUGAAUAUUGGGUGUCCCUUGGAAGGUGUGUCAUCAACUUUACUACAUGUGGCAGUGGGACCAUCUCAGUUGAAACUUGAACGUGAAAAUGAUUCAACCUGGGAGCUAAAUGAAUGAAAAUGGAAAUAAAAAGUAGAAUGGUGUUCCUGUUCCCCUUCGAACUCAACGGAUCCUUAAGCAAUUUCAAUGGGACAUACACUCACACAUUACAGUACCCACCUAGCGGACCAAACACGUGGAGACCAAAGAAAUGUUCUUUCUCUCAACCCCUACGCAAUCGGUCCACUACAAAGGGAUUGAAUAUUGGGUGUUCCUUGGAUGGUGUAUCAUCAGCUUAUUACAUGUGGGGCCAUCUUAUUUAAAACUUGAACGUUUUUCAGCCCAACAAGAAGUCGAACGAAAUGUAAAAGCGUACAUAUUUUCUUUUGCUUGAAAUAGAAAAGGUUUGGAAGCAGACAUUUGUUCUCUGAUGUUAGGCAUGAGAAUUUUAUAAUUGAACGAAGAGACCUGGGGGCGUUAAAAUUGUGGACAAGCUUUGCUUAAUAGGCCAUUUUUUAAGAAUUUGUGCAACUUUAAUUAAAAAGGGUGAUAUGUGUACGCUUCAAGUAGGGAUUACGCAGGCAAGGAUGUGUCAUUCUUUUAGGCUAAAGGUUAGCGACUGAUAGGUGACGAAACAGUGCAAUUAGAGUGGACUGUUAUACCUAAAGCCGCAUUUUAGAUUUAUUACUUGGUCGACCGUAUCGAACGCUGCAUCGCGGUUGUCUUUAUUAAUAUUUUCAAUUACUGAACCAUUAUUUCGGUGGAUUCUUUAUCAUAUCUGGAGAUCGGAGUUUAAGGAUUUAAUGGUAAAAUUAUUAUGAAGAUUCUGGAUGAGGCAGGCGAGUGCAAUACGACGAGCUCUCGAUCAGGGCGAAUUGCGAAGCUUUAUUCUUUGGAAUGUUGGAAUGAUGGCACGCUGCAAACCUUUCUCAAUGAGUGGACCACGUGGCUAAGGGAAGUCGCAGGUUCUGCCUAAGUAUAUUUUUGAUGAAACUUCUCGUAGGUUCAAGAUCUUCCUUGUAGUUUCUUGUGCAAAUGGAGACAACAAUUACUGAUUUUAGUUGUGAGUGCUUGGUGAUUUAUGCCUCUUCGCACUCAACUCAAUUUCAAUGGGAUAUACACUCACACGUUACAGUACCCACCUAACGGACCCCUUUUCCUUGAGCUAAUGAAGUCCAAACACGAGGAGACCAAAGAAAUGUUAUUUCUCUCAACCCCUACGCAAUCGGUCCACUACAAAGGGAUUGAAUAUUGGGUGUCCCUUGGAAGGUGUGUCAUCAGCUUGUGGGCUUGUGGGAGUGGGACCAUCUCAGUUGAAACUUGAACGGUAAGGUAGGUACACAUUCUUGUACAUGUGUUACUUUAGAGCGGUAAUGAUCACUUUAUGAACGGCGAAUUAACAUUGCUGUUUUUAGCGCAUUUUUGCAAAUUUAUU